rnacentral:rRNA from 1 species
UACGGAGGGAGCUAGCGUUGUUCGGAAUUACUGGGCGUAAAGCGCGCGUAGGCGGCUUUGUAAGUUAGAGGUGAAAGCCCGGGGCUCAACCCCGGAACUGCCUUUAAGACUGCAUCGCUUGAAUCCGGGAGAGGUGAGUGGAAUUCCGAGUGUAGAGGUGAAAUUCGUAGAUAUUCGGAAGAACACCAGUGGCGAAGGCGGCUCACUGGACGACUGUUGACGCUGAGGUGCGAAAGCGUGGGGAGCAAACAGG